rnacentral:misc_RNA from 1 species
UACGAAGGGGGCUAGCGUUGUUCGGAAUCACUGGGCGUAAAGCGCGCGUAGGCGGACUGUCAAGUCAGGGGUGAAAUCCCGGGGCUCAACCCUGGAAUUGCCUUUGAAACUGGCAGUCUGGAGACUCGGAGGGGAUGGCGGAAUUCCUAGUGUAGAGGUGAAAUUCGUAGAUACUAGGAGGAACACCGGCGGCGAAGGCGGCCAUCUGGACGGGUACUGACGCUGAGGCGCGAAAGCGUGGGGAGCAAACAGG